AUACGUAGGGUGCGAGCGUUGUCCGGAAUUACUGGGCGUAAAGAGCUCGUAGGUGGUUUGUCGCGUCGUCUGUGAAAUUCCGGGGCUUAACUCCGGGCGUGCAGGCGAUACGGGCAUAACUUGAGUACUGUAGGGGAGACUGGAAUUCCUGGUGUAGCGGUGAAAUGCGCAGAUAUCAGGAGGAACACCGGUGGCGAAGGCGGGUCGCUGGGCAGUAACUGACGCUGAGGAGCGAAUGCAGGGGUAGCAAACAGGAUUAGAUACCCUGGUAGUCCAUGCCGUAAACGGUGGGCGCUAGGUGUAGGGGUCUUCCACGACUUCUGUGCCGUAGCUAACGCAUUAAGCGCCCCGCCUGGGGAGUACGGCCGCAAGGCUAAAACUCAAAGGAAUUGACGGGG
rnacentral:rRNA from 1 species